AGAGUUUGAUCCUGGCUCAGGAUGAACGCUGGCGGCGUGCUUAACACAUGCAAGUCGAACGGGAAUGCCACGCUGAUGCGAUUUCGGUCAAAUCAUGUGGCAUUCGAGUGGCGGACGGGUGAGUAACGCGUGGGUAACCUGCCUUACACAGGGGGAUAACACCUGGAAACAGGUGCUAAUACCGCAUAAGCGCACAGGGCCGCAUGGCCCGGUGUGAAAAACUCCGGUGGUGUAAGAUGGACCCGCGUCUGAUUAGCUUGUUGGCGGGGUAGGGGCCCACCAAGGCGACGAUCAGUAGCCGGCCUGAGAGGGUGGACGGCCACAUUGGGACUGAGACACGGCCCAAACUCCUACGGGAGGCAGCAGUGGGGGAUAUUGGACAAUGGGGGAAACCCUGAUCCAGCGACGCCGCGUGAGUGAAGAAGUAUUUCGGUAUGUAAAGCUCUGUCAGCAGGGAAGAAAGAAAUGACGGUACCUGACCAAGAAGCCCCGGCUAACUACGUGCCAGCAGCCGCGGU
rnacentral:rRNA from 2 species